UGUGUUUUAUCAACAAUAGCCAUGAAAUGGAUGUUGACUCAUUGCUGUUUUGAAAAGAGAAAUCUAUUUAGAAGUAAUUAAUCAAAGGGCACCAGCUGAGGCUGUGUGUGUGUGUGUGUGUGUGUGUGUGUGUGUGUGUCUUCACGCGCUCAGACAGGCACAA
rnacentral:sRNA from 1 species